AUGCGGCGCUCCUCAAGGUAUUCCCUGGUCGUCCUUGAGGUAGAGGACCAUCUUGGUACCCCUGCCGAGCUGCUCCCCAGACGUAUCACGAGUGACGGUGAAGGAGCCACCGGCCUGGGACUCCCACACGUACUGCUCGUCGUCGUUGUGCUUGGUGGUGACGACAACCCUCUCGGCGACGAGGUAGGCGGAGUAGAAACCGACACCAAACUGCCCAAUCAUGGACACGUCGGCGCCGGCGGCGAGGGCCUCCAUGAACUCCUUGGUCCCCGACCUGGCGAUGGUCCCGAGGUUGUUGACGAGGUCCGACUUGGUCAUGCCAAUGCCGCUGUCGACGAUCGUGAGCGUGUUGGUCGCCUUGUCGGGGAUGAUGUGGAUGAAGAGCUCGGGCUGCGCAUCGAGCUUGCUCUUGUCCGUGAGGCUCUCGAACCUGAUCUUGUCCAAGGCCUGCGAAAAUCACAACGGUAA
rnacentral:rRNA from 1 species